ACUCUACAUACAUUAUAACCCUUCUAGGCUUCUGUUUUAUCAUUGGUAAAAUGGGGGAAAUAAUAGCACCAAUGCCAUAGGGCUGUUGUAAGGAAAGCAAGAUAAUACAUGCAAAGUGAUUUGCAAACUUUACAAGUCCCAGCUAUUCUGUAUUUAAAUUUCAUCUAUAAAUGGAAGCUAAUAAUAUCUGCUCUACUUGUCCUGCUAGUAUUUAUAAGCUCCUAAGGGAUACUAUGUGUAGAAAGCAGGCGUCCCUACCUCCCAUCUCUCUCUUCUAAUCCAAUCGAGAUGCUCUUCCAAAUGACUUUUCAGGGCCAUAAGAUAGCGUGGAAAUCUCUGGACAGGGAGGGAGUCAGGAGAAACCUGGAUAUGAAUCCUUUCUCUAACAAGCUGUGCGACCCUAAAGAAAUCCUUUUAAAUCUCUUCAGUUCUCAUCUAUAUAUAGGUAAUACGGUAAUCAGGGUAAUCUGCCAGAUGGGGGUUGAGCAUGCACCCUAGUCCUUCCUAGUGGGUGGGCCACUUGCUAAAGGACUCAAACAACCAGAGGUUUCUGUGGCUCUUCCUCUGCAUUGCCCCCUUAACUAGAUGUUGUUGAGAGAGCGGACCUUCUAUUUCUCUCUCUCCUCUCCUUCCCCUUCUGAUUCUGUCUCUAGCUUUAUCUCCUCCCCACAUACACCAUUAAGUGCAUUGAAACUCUUCCAUCUCUCCCUCAGAAUUCCAAUGAUGUACAGGGAAAGCAUAAUUCUCCCUUCUCCCCAGCCCUAUGGCAACAAGAGAACGUGAAUGUCUAGGUGAGCCAGAGACCAUAUCUCAACGCCCUUGUUGUCUCUUGUGCUCUGUUUAUUCAUUCAUUGGCAGAGAUUUAAAUAAAAAGCAAUGACAACUUGUAUGCUCUCCUUUGAGGCUGAAACUUUCACACUAGAACAUGAGACAGUUUGGGGGACUAUUUAUUAGGCAUUUAACAGUUAACCUUGGCUCUACAUUGUCCAAACAAUUCCCUCCAGACCUAUGUCUUUUGGCAAACCAGUUCAGAAAGUUUAACUCCUUCCUUUGUCAGUGAUAUCCAUAGUAAUUUCCCCUUCUAACCACAGGACACAGAAUCUCCAACUGUUCAAACUCACCAAGUUACCUCUAAGUCCCCAAAUGUCUAUGUCUGCAGCACUAUUUGAUCAUCUAAGUUGGGGGGGGGGAUCCAAAAGAGGCAGCCCAAAACUCAAGUUCAGGUUUACCUAAGCAGGAAAUUCUUUAGCUAUCAUGUGUUUAAUGUUCAUAAUUUAUGCUGGAGUCUGAGGAAGGAUAGCCACCUCUCAUAAAAACACCAUUUGCCAUACUAAGAACUGAAGAAGGGAGAGAGACAAGGAGUAAUUAAUUCCAUUUCAAAUAUUCGUAGUCAAUGGCUCUGCCUGCUCAUCCCCCAAAUCCCUGAGUCUUUUAGUAUGUAUCACAUAUGACCAACUGGAAACAGUCAGUGGUUUUUUCUUCCUUCUUAGUAUCUAGGCCAGUGAUGGUGAACCUUUCAGAGACUGAGUGCCAGGCCCCACCUCCAACCAAAUGUCAUGCCCAUCCCCUCAGACUGUAUGCCAUACUCUUCCACUCCCACCAACUAUUGGGUGCGCCCUGCCUACUCCUUACCCCACACAGGGGAGGGAGAAAGUGCUCCCAUUGGGCUGCUAGAUAGAGGGGUGGAUAAAGUGAGGAAUAUCCUCAGUGAGUAUAGAGAGGGGGAGGGGAAUGGUCCAAGCACUCUGCUCCCCUCCAGCUCUGCUACCUGUGAGCCACUCACCUUACCCACUGUGCUGCUAAUCCCAUUGGGCUGCUAGGCAAAGGGGUGGGUGAUGUGAAAAAAAUGUCAUCGGGCACAGUGGAGAGGGGGAGGAGAGCAGCCCCCCCCCCAGUCCCUCUGCCUUUCUAGUAAUGAACUGGGAAGUGAGGGGAAUUGGGUGGCCACAUGCUUAUAGGGAAGUCUUUGUAUGCCAACUUUGGCACCCAUGCCAUAGGUUCACCAUCACUGCUCAAGGCUCUGGCCUAGUACCAUUAGUACCAUUCACCAUGUGAAUGCCAGGGAGCAACCAGAUACUAACUCAAUUCCAUCUGGAAGUCAUUAAAAUUCAUUAUAACCAAUAAACACAAACAUGGUAUGCAUUUACUAUCAAGUCUAUCUUUUGGAGAGACUUGACUGUAGAGCGUCAUUUUGCUUGACUACGUUUUUCAGGAAACAAUUCCACUAGACAUGCUAUGUGUGGACACGUCUUUCCAGCUCUAGCAAAUUGUGAGCACCGUGAAAGACAAGACAACACAAUAAGCAUUUAUUAAGCAUUUACUGUGAGCUGCCCACUGUGAGGGAGAAUGAAGCAAAGCAGGACUCUGCAAAAGUGGCCAAAGGCAAGAGUUUGCAAAAGACGGUCCGUCACAUGCACAGAGCUGAAAGAGCUGCUCCAGCAUCUGGAGAAAGGAUCAAGGCAGACACCGGAUAUCCGUUGUUCCCAUCCUGCCAGGGGAGCAGAGAGAUCACUUCCUGUGGGGCGGUUCUAAGCCUGAAGGAGGCGCCUAACCGAUGCCCUGAGAGCUGGAGGCUCGCCUGUGAUUCCUGAGAUCCUCUCCGUCCCUGCCUCCACUUUCCAUCUCCCUGUGAGCCUGUAAGCUCCCGUGUCCCUGAGCGCUGCCAGGACCCAGCCCCCGUCAGGGAGAAGAGCCCAGCCAUCUUGGCCUGGCCUACAAGGGGGAACUCCUCAAGAGGUCCAGCGACCCUCUCGGGAAGAACUUUUAACUCGUCUAUCAGUCAUCUGGGGGCCACUUGGCUCUGACGAGGUCGUUGGUGGGGCUCUGUUGUAGAGAGCCAGAGUAGAGCCAGGGUAGCCCGAAGAUCUCUGAAGAUGGCCCCAGAGGAGCCCUUGGAGGCAUCUGGGUGGAGAAUCUGAGUUUUAAGCGUGGGGACUCCUUUUCCCUGGUCCUCCUCCUUCCUCUUUACUCGAUAUAAAUAAACCUGAGUUACUGUUUUCUACAGAAGAGUCAGCGAGCGCUUUGGCGAGGAGCUGACCCUCAGGCCUACAGAGGCCUGUCCAGUGUAUUCUCGGUGUGCCAACAACAAGUCUACAAACUCUUCCAUCGAUAUCAUCGUUUUUUUCACCCUGUACACUAUGCUGAAGACCGAGGAUGCAAAGACGAGCCAAAAGGAAAGAGAGCUCUGCCGCUGUGGAGCCUAAUUCUAAUGGAGGAAGUCCACACCACAAAGGAACUGAGAUAGCUGUGGAAGGAAGGAGAAUGGGGUGAAUACUCAUGUAGGGACGACGUAGAAGCCCCAAAAGUCAAAAGCAGAAGCAAGAAGGGAAUGAAGUUUGACCAGCUCUGGAGGAACUCACCAGUGGGAAAAGGAGGCUUGCCUGGUGUUGAGAUGACAGGUUGCAGGGAAGGAUGGAGACUAGAUGCUGAGAAGCUGAGGACUAAGAUAUCCACAUUUACUGGCAUCAAUAGGUGAGCCCUCAUUGGCAAUUUUCAGAAAAAGAAAUCAAAACUAUUAAUAAGCACAUGAAAAAGUGUUCUAAAUCUCUCAUAAUCAGAGAGAUGCAAAUCAAAACAACUCUGAGGUAUCACCUCACACCUAGCAGAUUGGCUAACAUGACAGCAAAGGAAAGUAAUGAAUGCUGGAGGGGAUGUGGCAAAGUUGGGACAUUAAUUCAUUGCUGGUGGAGUUGUGAAUUGAUCCAACCAUUCUGGAGGGCAAUUUGGAACUAUGCCCAAAGGGCGAUAAAAGACUGUCUGCCCUUUGAUCCAGCCAUAGCACUACUGGGCUUUUACCCCAAAGAGAUAAUAAGGAAAAAGACAUGUACAAGAAUAUUCAUAGCUGCACUCUUUGUGGUGGCCAAAAAUUGGAAAAUGAGGGGAUGCCCUUCCAUUGGGGAAUGGCUGAACACACUGUGUUAUCUGUUGGGGAUGGAAUACUAUUGUGCUCAAAGUUUAAUAAAGUGGAGGAAUUCCAUGGAGACUGGAACAACCUCCAGGAAGUGAUGCAGAGCAAGAGGAGCAGAACCAGGAGAGCAGUGUACACAGAGACUGAUACACUGUGGUACAAUUGAAUGUAAUGAACUUCUCUACUAGCAGCAAUACAGUGAGCCAGGAAAAUUCUGGAGACUUAUGAGAAAGAUGCUCUCUACAUCCAGAGAAAGAACUGUGAGAGCAGAAACACAGAAGGAAAACAACAAAACAACUGCUUGAUCACAAGGGUCGAUGGGGAUAUGAUUGGGGAUGUAGACUCUAAACAAUCACCCUGGUGCAAAUGUUUAUAAUAUGGAAAUAGGUCUUGAUCAAUGAAACAUGUAAAACCCAAUGGAAUUGCUCAUUGGCUAUGGGAGGGGAUGGGAGAAUGGAAGGGAAAGAACAUGAAUCAUGGAACCAUGGGAAAAUAUUCUAAAUUAAUUCAUUAAAUAAACAAACAAAAACAGGAAAUACAAACAGGGAAAAAAAUAUGGUGAGCCUUCAGAAAGGUAGGGGUAGGGGUCUCCAGGAUGUCCAAGGAGGGACAAAUUAGCCCAGGUUGAAAAUGAGGCAGAUUAAAACUCUAAUGCCAAUAAUUAGUGGAAAUGGACAUUUAAGAAGUUGCUAUGCCUAAUCUCCAAAAGAAAAGAAGAGAAAGGAAAACAAAGCUGCCUGUAACAGAGAACUGAAGUUGAAUGCAUUUUCUACUAAUCUUAUUCUCCCUUUUAUCAUGUGAGUUUGUGUUACACCUUUCCCCACUAGAUGAUAAACUUCUGGAGAACAA